rnacentral:rRNA from 1 species
ACUCCUACGGGAGGCAGCAGUGGGGAAUAUUGCACAAUGGGCGCAAGCCUGAUGCAGCCAUGCCGCGUGUAUGAAGAAGGCCUUCGGGUUGUAAAGUACUUUCAGCAGUGAGGAAGGUAGUGUAGUUAAUAGCUGCAUUAUUUGACGUUAGCUGCAGAAGAAGCACCGGCUAACUCCGUGCCAGCAGCCGCGGUAAUACGGAGGGUGCGAGCGUUAAUCGGAAUUACUGGGCGUAAAGCGCAUGCAGGUGGUUUGUUAAGUCAGAUGUGAAAGCCCGGGCGUCAACCUCGGAAUUGCAUUUGAAACUGGCAGACUAGAGUACUGUAGAGGGG